CCUACGGGAUGCAGCAGUGGGGAAUUGUUCGCAAUGGGCGCAAGCCUGACGACGCAACGCCGCGUGGAGGACGAAGAUCUUCGGGUCGUAAACUCCUGUCGGGAAGCUCGCGGUACCGCUAAAGGAAGCCCCGGCUAACUCCGUGCCAGCAGCCGCGGUAAUACGGGGGGGGCAAGCGUUGUUCGGAAUUACUGGGCGUAAAGGGCUCGUAGGCGGUCAACUAAGUCGGAUGUGAAAUCCCCAGGCUUAACCUGGGAACUGCAUCCGAUACUGGAUGGCUUGAAUCCGGGAGAGGGAUGCAGAAUUCCAGGUGUAGCGGUGAAAUGCGUAGAUAUCUGGAGGAAUACCGGUGGCGAAGGCGGCAUCCUGGACCGGAUUGACGCUGAUGAGCGAAAGCUAGGGGAGCAAACGGGAUUAGAUACCCUGGUAGUC
rnacentral:rRNA from 1 species